CUAAGUUGGAGUCCAUACUUUACUCAUAUUUUCAACAGCAGCAUCAAGGAAUUCACUAUUUCUGCCAGCAGGGCAUUUGGCCCUCUCUUCUUUUCUGUGCUCUCUCCCUCCCUCCUGAAAGGUAAUGUGGGAUGUAUUGAUCCCAGCUUUUAGGACUCGUUCUAUUUCUGAACCCAGAUUGCAGUAUAAAGAACAAGCACCAUUUAAAAAGGGAAGAUCUAUAUUAGAAUGACAAAGAGAAUAAAUUAAAGCAGUGUCCUGCCUCUAAUGGUCUGCAGGCAGUUGUUAAGGAGGGAAUGCCCAGUGCUGUCUACCUGAAUGGUGCUUCAGAGUCUCCAGUACCAGGGGACUUCAGUGAGCACAGUAUUGAUUUUUGUUCCACAUUAAGCUUUUAGCUUUGCAAAUGGUUUUCUUUGGAAUCAUUAACAUUGCAAUGUGCAGCAUGAGGGUGAAAUAGCUGUGCUGCUGUGCAGGUACCACCUCUGAUCACUUCCUUCUUCCUUUCCUCUGUUGAACCAUCAUUCAGCUGAUGCACCUGCAGGAGAGUGAGGAGAAAAUGAAGUGAAGUUGCAAGCCAGGACAGCCUUGGGACUUGGACUGAACAAGGAGCUUUUUGCCCUCCACACUCCUGACUUUGCUGUGGUCCCAGGGCAGCUCCAGGACUGUGCUCUCCCCAGGGAAGGAAGGGUCCUGCUGCUGGUGACCUGGCAGGGCACAUGGAGCUGCUGGCUGCCACAGCGCCAGAGAAAGCAGGGAAGGAUGCAACAGCACCACAAGCCGAGGCGGAAGGAGCAGAAGAAGCAGCUGCAGUGCCAGAGGCAGAAAGCCUCGUGGGAACAGCUCAAAGGGAAGAGGAAGAACAUGUGGAUAAAGCCAAGGAACACCACUCAGCAGGAAGAGGAUUGGAUGAAAGAGGCAGAGGUGAAAUGAAAUGGAGAGGUGAUGUUCUGGGUCAUACCUCCUAACUGGGGGCUUGUACCAUCACUCCUGGAAUGCAGUAGGACUGCCAAUCACACCUCUUUUGUGUCUCACUAUACUAUUAAAAAUAAACACAUGGCAUAUUCUGCAUGCAAUAGUGUUGAGGGUCUGUCAGAGGUCUUUG
rnacentral:lncRNA from 12 species